GAGCGAGUUCGGUACACACAGGUUACACGUGUUCGACUGAGUAAUAUAGGGGAGAAAAAAAAGAAGGAAAGAGAAUCCUUACAGGUGCCUGAAGCAGUCGAGACCAAAAAGGAAGAUUAGCCCGGAGCUAACUGCUGCCAAUCUCCCUCUUUUUACUGAGGAAGACUGGCCCUGAGCUAACAUCCGUGCCCAUCUUCCUCUACUUUAUAUGUGGGACGCCUGCCACAGCAUGGCGUGCCAAGCGGUGCCAUGUCUGCACCCAGGAUCCGAACCGGCGAACCCCGGGCCGCCAAAGUGGUAACCGCUGCGCCACCUGGCCAGCCCCUGCAAUUUCUUCUUUGACCCAGGGGUUAUAUAGGAGUUUGUUGUUUCAUUUCCACAUAUGUCCCUGAGCUAACUACUGCCAAUCCUCCUCUUUUUGCUGAGGAAGACUGGACCUGAGCUAACAUCCAUGCCCAUCUUCCUCUACUUUAUACGUGGGACGCCUACCACAGCAUGGCUUGCCAAGUGGUACCAUGUCUGCACCUGGGAUCCGAACCUGCGAACUCCAGGCCACCGAGAAGUGGAAUGUGCGAACUUAACCGCUGCACCACCAGGCCGGCCCUGACCAUAAUUUCUUCAAGUAUUCUUUCUGUACCUUUCUCUCCUCUACUCUCCUUCUAUGGUACAUUUGUAGGCAUAUCACAGGUCUGUGUGGCUCUGUUCAUUUUUCUUCGUUCUUUUUUCUUCUUCCUCAGACUGGAUAAUCUCAAUUGACCUGCCUUCAGAUUCAGUCUUUCCCUUUUCUGUCUGCUCAGAUCUGCUGUUGAGCCCUUUUAGUGAACAUUUCAUUUUAGUUAUUGCACUUUUCAACACCAGAAUUUUGAUUUAGUUUUUUAAAAAAUAAUUUACAUAUUUUUAUUGAUUUUCUCUAUUUGGUCAGACAUUAUUCUUUUUUUUUUAGAUUGGCAGCUGAGCUAACAACUGUUGCCAAUCUUCUUUUGUUUUUUUCCUUUUUCUCCCCCAAACCCCCCAGUAUAUAGUUGAGCAUUUCUAGUUGUGGGUCCCUCUAGUUGUGGCAUGUGGGGUGCCACCUCAGCAUGGCUUGAUGAGCAGUGCCAUGUCCACACCCAGGAUUCAAACCGGUGAAACCCUGGGCUGCC
rnacentral:lncRNA from 1 species